CUUUCCCCUAGCUUGUCUCCUGGUGGUGCCUUCUCUCCCCACCUGCUCUCUCACUGCCCUUUCCCGGGGCUCCCUCCCAGCUUGCCUUGACCCUCAGGGGGGCAGAGCAGGCUCCUUCCUUCCCUCUUUCCUCACACUCCUGGUGCCCCCAGAAGCUCCAAAGGGAGAGAGACAGAGAGAGGUCCUGGUUUCCUCCUUCCUCCCCAACGAGGCCUCUGUCUGGACUGCCACUGGCACCCCAAGGGAGCUGGGAAAGCUGCCCCUUCUGUGAGCAGAAGAGCCAAGAGCCCAGCACUGUGGGGACUCCACGCUGCCCUCAGUCCAGGCGGAGCCCGUGUGUGGUCGAGGCUACCUAGAGGAGGGGCCCCAGCUGCAGAGGUGACG
rnacentral:lncRNA from 1 species